UGGGGAAUUUUGGACAAUGGGCGAAAGCCUGAUCCAGCAAUGCCGCGUGUGUGAAGAAGGCCUUCGGGUUGUAAAGCACUUUUGUCCGGAAAGAAAUCCUUGGCUCUAAUACAGUCGGGGGAUGACGGUCCGGAAGAAUAAGCACCGGCUAACUACGUGCCAGCAGCCGCGGUAAUACGUAGGGUGCAAGCGUUAAUCGGAAUUACUGGGCGUAAAGCGUGCGCAGGCGGUUUGCUAAGACCGAUGUGAAAUCCCCGGGCUCAACCUGGGAACUGCAUUGGUGACUGGCAGGCUAGAGUAUGGCAGAGGGGGGUAGAAUUCCAUGUGUAGCAGUGAAAUGCGUAGAGAUGUGGAGGAAUACCGAUGGCGAAGGCAGCCCCCUGGGCCAAUACUGACGCUCAUGCACGAAAGCGU
rnacentral:rRNA from 1 species